UGGGGAAUAUUGCACAAUGGGCGCAAGCCUGAUGCAGCAACGCCGCGUGAGGGACGACGGCCUUCGGGUUGUAAACCUCUUUUGGCAGGGAAGAAGCGAAAGUGACGGUACCUGCAGAAAAAGCACCGGCUAACUACGUGCCAGCAGCCGCGGUGAUACGUAGGGUGCAAGCGUUGUCCGGAAUUAUUGGGCGUAAAGAGCUCGUAGGCGGUUUGUCGCGUCUGCUGUGAAGACCCGAGGCUCAACCUCGGGCCUGCAGUGGGUACGGGCAAACUAGAGUGCGGUAGGGGAGAUUGGAAUUCCUGGUGUAGCGGUGGAAUGCGCAGAUAUCAGGAGGAACACCGAUGGCGAAGGCAGAUCUCUGGGCCGUAACUGACGCUGAGGAGCGAAAGCAUGGGGAGCGAACA
rnacentral:rRNA from 1 species